UCUUCUCCCAAUUUUUCAGCAAACAAAUAAUCCAUUCUUAAGCGCACUAUUUUUCAGCAGCCCAUUCUCAAUCAAAUACCAACCCAUUAUUAUACGCAAUUCCAAAAGAAAACCAUACAUUACAACAUACAAUACUACAACAGUACAACGCCAAAACAAUACCCACCGGCCACCCCAACUUCGUUUCUUCUUUUUCGUGCUUUGCUUCGAAUCGGACGGCUAUCAUCAUUAUCCCAUUGAGAAUUGUACAGGUAUUGGUAUAAAGCUGGCAGCCUUACCUUAUUUUUUUUUGGAGAGGGGGGGUGGAGGGGGGGAUUUUUGAUUUUGGAAUUUGGAAAAAGAUCUAUCCUAUUUCCUCCUUUCAUGCCCUAAUUUUCCCCAUAUAAAAACCUCCAUCUUAUUCAUUGUUAGUUAGAGGUUGGGCGAUGAGAGCUGGAAAAUAAAAGGAGGUAGAGAAAAUGAUAGUUGAUAGAAAAAGGAUUUUCUGAGGCCGAGAGUCAAAACUUGAACAAAAAAAGCAUUCUCGAUUAUAAUACAAAAGGAUUUGAGUCUCUUGGCGUCUGUUUCAUCUUUCAUGCAUCUUCGGAGCUCGCUGAAGUUUUCAGAAUUUACAUUGUGGUGAUGGAAGUUCUGCUCGAAUUCGUCGUCUCGGCUCGCUGCUCCGAAAGAGAUGCUUUGCUGAGUCCAAAUUGGACUCUUUUCAUCAUCUCCUUGCAUUUUCGAGUAUCGAGUCAGCCUUACUUGUUCGAGUGAAAAGGAGGGAAAGUCACAGGUCUCGAAGUUGAAUGAAUUCGAAAUAAAUAGAGAAGUUGAAGAGAUUGGGCCAGAAAAGCCCACAUUUAUUCUCAAGAUUUUUGUACUUUUGUUAUUUUGGGCCUAAGCCCUUGUUAUUUUGUAUUAUUAAUAUCUUGUUAGUUUAGGAUAGGUAUAAUUAAGGGCAAAUUUUAUAUAUAGCAAAGAAAAAAUUGACAAUUGUAGGCUAUAGCAAACUAUUCAAAAUUGCAUUCCGCAGCAAAUUAAAAGUUUGCUACGGGUGACUUUUUGUGUACAACAGUUAAUAAAUAUCUUUCUUUUAUACAAUUCAA